rnacentral:rRNA from 1 species
CCUACGGGUGGCAGCAGUGAGGAAUAUUGGUCAAUGGCCGGGAGGCUGAACCAGCCAAGUCGCGUGAGGGAAGACGGCCCUACGGGUUGUAAACCUCUUUUAUGCGGGGAUAAAGGUGUCCACGCGUGGCUGUUUGCAGGUACCGCAUGAAUAAGGACCGGCUAAUUCCGUGCCAGCAGCCGCGGUAAUACGGAAGGUCCGGGCGUUAUCCGGAUUUAUUGGGUUUAAAGGGAGCGUCGGCGGGUCUUUAAGCGUGCCGUGAAAUUUUGUGGCUCAACCAUGCGAGUGCGGCGCAAACUGGAGACCUUGAGUGCGCGGAAGGCAUGCGGAAUUCGUGGUGUAGCGGUGAAAUGCUUAGAUAUCACGAAGAACCCCGAUUGCGAAGGCAGCCUGCCGCAGCGUUACUGACGCUGAAGCUCGAAAGCGCGGGUAUCGAACAGGAUUAGAUACCCUGGUAGUC